UACGUAGGGUGCGAGCGUUAAUCGGAAUUACUGGGCGUAAAGCGUGCGCAGGCGGUUCGCCAAGUCAGGUGUGAAAUCCCCGGGCUUAACCUGGGAAUUGCAUUUGUGACUGCACGGCUAGAGUGUGUCAGAGGGGGGUAGAAUUCCACGUGUAGCAGUGAAAUGCGUAGAUAUGUGGAGGAAUACCGAUGGCGAAGGCAGCCCCCUGGGAUAACACUGACGCUCAUGCACGAAAGCGUGGGGAGCAAACAGG
rnacentral:rRNA from 1 species